AACGAACGCUGGCGGCAUGCCUAACACAUGCAAGUCGAACGAGACCUUCGGGUCUAGUGGCGCACGGGUGCGUAACGCGUGGGAACCUGCCUUUAGGUUCGGAAUAACAGUGAGAAAUUACUGCUAAUACCGGAUGAUGUCUUCGGACCAAAGAUUUAUCGCCUUUAGAUGGGCCCGCGUUGGAUUAGCUAGUUGGUGGGGUAAAGGCCUACCAAGGCGACGAUCCAUAGCUGGUCUGAGAGGAUGAUCAGCCACACUGGGACUGAGACACGGCCCAGACUCCUACGGGAGGCAGCAGUGGGGAAUAUUGGACAAUGGGCGAAAGGCCUGAUCCAGCAAUGCCGCGUGAGUGAUGAAGGCCUUAGGGUUGUAAAGCUCUUUACCCGAGAUGAUAAUGACAGUAUCGGGAGAAUAAGCUCCGGCUAACUCCGUG
rnacentral:rRNA from 1 species